CACGUAGUUAGCCGGUGCUUAUUCUUCAGGUACCGUCAUGAGUCCCAGGUAUUAGCCAGAACCUUUUCUUCCCUGACAAAAGCGGUUUACAACCCGAAGGCCUUCUUCCCGCACGCGGCAUGGCUGGAUCAGGCUUGCGCCCAUUGUCCAAAAUUCCCCACUGCUGCCUCCCGUAGGAGUCUGGGCCGUGUCUCAGUCCCAGUGUGGCUGGUCGUCCUCUCAGACCAGCUACAGAUCGUCGGCUUGGUGAGCCUUUACCUCACCAACUACCUAAUCUGAUAUCGGCCGCUCCAAUCGCGCGAGGUCUUGCGAUCCCCCGCUUUCACCCUCAGGUCGUAUGCGGUAUUAGCUGCUCUUUCGAGCAGUUAUCCCCCACGACUGGGCACGUUCCGAUACAUUACUCACCCGUUCGCCACUCGUCAGCUUAACCUGUUACCGUUCGACUUGCAUGUGUAAGGCAUGCCGCCAGCGUUCAAUCUGAGCCAGGAUCAAACUCU
rnacentral:rRNA from 1 species